rnacentral:rRNA from 1 species
UACGUAGGGUGCAAGCGUUGUCCGGAAUUAUUGGGCGUAAAGAGCUCGUAGGCGGUCUGUUGCGUCGGCUGUGAAAACCCGAGGCUCAACCUCGGGCCUGCAGCCGAUACGGGCAGACUAGAGUUCGGCAGGGGAGACUGGAAUUCCUGGUGUAGCGGUGAAAUGCGCAGAUAUCAGGAGGAACACCGGUGGCGAAGGCGGGCAUCUGGGCCGAUACUGACGCUGAGGAGCGAAAGCGUGGGGAGCGAACAGG